GGACUACCGGGGUUUCUAAUCCUGUUUGAUCCCCACGCUUUCGUGCCUCAGUGUCAAUUCAGGCCUAGUGAACUGCCUUCGCAAUCGGUGUUCUAUUACAUAUCUAAGCAUUUCACCGCUACAUGUAAUAUUCCAUCCACCUCGACCUGAUUCAAGCUAAGCAGUAUCAAUGGCAGUUCCGCAGUUGAGCUGCGGUAUUUCACCACUGACUUACAAAGCCACCUACGCACCCUUUAAACCCAGUGAAUCCGGAUAACGCUUGCACCCUCCGUAUUACCGCGGCUGCUGGCAC
rnacentral:rRNA from 2 species